GAAGAAGCGCCGGCUAACUACGUGCCAGCAGCCGCGGUAAUACGUAGGGCGCGAGCGUUGUCCGGAUUUAUUGGGCGUAAAGAGCUCGUAGGUGGUUCGUCGCGUCUGUCGUGAAAGCCAGCAGCUUAACUGUUGGUCUGCGGUGGGUACGGGCGGGCUUGAGUGCGGUAGGGGUGACUGGAAUUCCUGGUGUAGCGGUGGAAUGCGCAGAUAUCAGGAGGAACACCGAUGGCGAAGGCAGGUCACUGGGCCGUUACUGACACUGAGGAGCGAAAGCGUGGGGAGCGAACAGGAUUAGAUACCCUGGUAGUCCACGCUGUAAACGUUGGGA
rnacentral:rRNA from 1 species